rnacentral:lncRNA from 1 species
AUGAAGGCCAAGGGACAUUCACCCUCACAGGCUCUUCAUCCAGUGGGGGCAGGGCAGAGACCACCCCACCCCAACGCACCCUGUUUGCCUGUUCGCCCUGGAGGGCUGGACCUCACUUUUUCCUCUGUUUCCCUCCAUAGGACCUGGAACCCCAUGUGCCCUUGGAUAAAAACGUCCAACCUUCAUCACCAUCGCUUUAUCUUCAAACAGUCACAGUUCCGUGGCAUCCAAAUCAUCACUGGUGCUUGCCUAAAUAAGAAUAUGCAUACUAUCAGGACAUGCCACCCACUUCCAAGAUGGAGUACAAAAUGAGUAAGUUUACGUUUUCUUUUAUACCCAAAUUAUGAUUCCAGACUCCCCACCCCAAAGAUCAUAAGAAAUCCCUUGUUCCAGUUUCCAUCCAAGGUCAUUCUGGGAAGUGCCAGGGAAUGCUUGCCAGUUUCACAGAGCUAACCUGCUUGUUCUUCUCCCAGCAGGCUUUGCUCUCUUUCCCUGGCCACUGGCUCCAAGUCGGUUCCCUUCCUUAGCUGUCCCAACUGCCUAAACCCAAGCUCAGGUGUUUAGCAAGCCUUUACUGAAUGCUUGGGGGAAUAACCCAGAGCCAAGUGCAGCGAUUGCCUUGGUAGCUAAGGGCUCUACAUCCCUUUCCACUCACAGACCCAAAGCCCCUCUCAGGGUCCCAAUAGAGCAGACACCAGCCCCGCCCUCCUCUAGUCCUAAUGAGGAAGAGACCCCUUCCUGCACAAGGGCUGACCUUCAUGCCUACCCCGGAUGACUGAAAGAGAGAGGAUCUAUUUCCUUCAAGGGAAACAGCUCCCCGCUCACCUGCCCACAGACACACACCCCAUGUACACUCAGGUACACAGGGUUUGGUCUGACCUCUCUGACCUAGAAAAAACAAAACAGCAGGUGUCAGCACAAUUCCCAAAGCCAGCUAGUUAUAUAACUAAAUAACACAACAUAAGGAACACCAACAGUUCAACCCAAAUUUUCAUUUAGGUAAAAACCGUUUCUCCAACUCAUCAAAGGCACAGUGAGGCUAAAGAAUCUCCCUGUUUCCAUUCACAACCAUGCCACCCUGGACAGCCGUGGUCAUAGUGGUGGUGAUCUUGCCAUUUUUCUCUCAGGAUCCCAGGUAGGUCCUUUACCUUUGUGUCACUAGAGAGCCCGGUCUGUGGCUUUUUCUGAAAAACCUUAGAAAUCUGCUCUAAAGGAGAAAUGUCUCCACUUGUAGAAAUGAAAAAUUCUCAACACAUUUCAGACUUGGAUACUCCAGUUACAAGCUUCCAUGAUGAAGGCAGCAUUCCUAACC